rnacentral:rRNA from 1 species
AGAACGAACGCUGGCGGCAUGCCUAAUACAUGCAAGUCGAACGAACACUUCGGUGUUAGUGGCGCACGGGUGCGUAACGCGUGGGAAUCUGCCCUUGGGUUCGGAAUAACAGUUGGAAACGACUGCUAAUACCGGAUGAUAUCGAAAGAUCAAAGAUUUAUCGCCCAGGGAUGACGCCCGCGUAGGAUUAGCUAGUUGGUGAGGUAAAGGCUCACCGAAGGCGACGAUCCUUAGCUGGUCUGAGAGGAUGAUCAGCCACACGUGGACUGAGACACGGCCCAGACCUCCGUACGGGAGCAGCGAAGUAGGAA